rnacentral:misc_RNA from 1 species
GGGCUACAGAUUGGGAGAUUCGUGUACAUAUUUAAAGUAUGAGGUCUUUGUACAAGAUAAUGCUUGAAAAGGAUAAUAGUAACAAACAAGCUUAAAAUGGCAACAUAUUUCAACUUACAGAAGGUCUUCUGGUCAUGGAAGUUGAUGAGUUAAACAUUUCCUCACCAAGCUCCUUUAUUUUGUUCAGUAGAAGCAUUUGCUCAGUCUCAAGCUGUACCAUGUAGUCUUCUUGCGAAUCCUCUAACCCUUCCAUCUCACUCAAAGCUGUUGAAAGUCCUUCAAGAUCGCGGUCCUCAAUCAAAGAUUGAAAUUU